CUGCAGCUCAAGUGGUGGCCGCUAUUAUUGGGCCUAAAACGUCCGUAGCCGGUUUAGUAAAUGCCUGGGUAAAUCGUGUAGCUUAACUAUACGACUUCCGGGUAGACUGCUAGACUUGGGACCGGGAGAGGCUAGAGGUACUCCUGGGGUAGAGGUGAAAUUCUGUAAUCCUAGGGGGACCACCAGUGGCGAAGGCGUCUAGCUAGAACGGGUCUGACGGUGAGGGACGAAGCCCUGGGGCGCAAACCGGAUUAGAUACCCGCGUAGUCC
rnacentral:rRNA from 1 species